CAGCAGCCGCGGUAAUACCGGCGGCCCGAGUGGCGGUCACUAUUAUUGGGCUUAAAGCGUCCGUAGCCGGGUUGGGAAGUCCUCCGGGAAAUCUGGCCGCUUAACGGUCAGAAUGCCGGAGGAUACUCCCAGCCUAGGGAGCGGGAGAGGCCGAGGGGAUUCCCGGAGUAGGGGUGAAAUCCUAUAAUCCCGGGAGGACCACCUGUGGCGAAGGCGCUCGGCUGGAACGCGUCCGACGAUGAGGGACGAAGGCCAGGGGAGCGAACCGGAUUAGAUACCCGGGUAGUCCUGGCGGUAAACGAUGCGGACUAGGUGUCGGGCAAGCUAAGGGCUUGUCCGGUGCCGCAGGGAAGCCGUUAAGUCCGCCGCCUGGGGAGUACGGCCGCAAGGCUGAAACUUAAAGGAAUUGGCGGG
rnacentral:rRNA from 1 species